rnacentral:lncRNA from 1 species
AAUUCUAUUGGACAGCCAGAGAAAUGGAAAAAUACUGUAAAUUGGAGAAAAUUGCUUGUCAGCUCUAGGCACGAAAUCUUACUUUCCCCGUCUCUUGUCAUGAAGAGAAGACAGAAAACAAAGCAGGAUCAACAAUUAACUGGACCUACAUAGAAGAGGAACAAAUUCUUGAAAAGGUGCUUUGUGUUCCUGCAUUUGCAUCUCAUUUGGGAUUCUGUCCCCUAAUUCUGCUCCAGGGCCAGGGUAGGGUGAGGAGAGGGAAG